AGAGAGGCGGAGCAGAGGAGACAGAAACCCUUACCUACAAGGCAUCGGCGAGUUUGGGACUUAAGCAUUUGCUGCCUGAUCCUCCUUGCUUGGGCACUGCAUACCAACACCUUCCUUUCUACAGCUGCAAACCUUCCUUUACAUAUCUGGUUCUACUGUGCCAGGUCUCAGGGAAAAGGAAAUUCAGUUCAUAUUAAAACUGGAAAAUUCCAUACAAUUUUUAAAUUAAAAAUUACAAAAUAAUUUUUAAAUGCAGAAAUUCCGGAAAAGAAGAAGGAGAAGAAGAAAUAGCUUUGGUCUGUCAUAAAGUGAAAUGGGAUCUUGAUUGAAUUUUUUUCUCUCGACACUCUGAAGGACUUGGAAG
rnacentral:lncRNA from 10 species